rnacentral:tRNA from 1 species
GCUCGGGUGGCGGAACAGGCAGACGCACGGGACUUAAAAUCCCGGGACCCUUUAAGCGGUCGUGAGGGUUCAACUCCCUCCCCGAGCA